rnacentral:rRNA from 1 species
GUGCCAGCAGCCGCGGUAGGAUACAGAGGGUGCAAGCGUUAAUCGGAAAUUACUGGGCGUAAAGCGCGCGUAGGUGGUUUGUUAAGUUGGAUAGUGAAAGCCCCGGGCUCAACCUGGGAACUGCAUUCAAAACUGACAAGCUAGAGUAUGGUUAGAGGGUGGUGGGAAUUUCCUGUGUAGCGGUGAAAAUGCGUAAGAUAUAGGAAGGAACACCAGUGGCGAAGGCGACCACCUGGACUGAUACUGACACGUGAGGUGCGAAAGCGUGGGAGCAAACAGGAUUAGAUACCCUGGUAGUCCACGCCGUAAACGAUGUCAACUAGCCGUUGGGA